CCCUUAGAUGUUCUGGGCCGCACGCGCGCUACACUGACUACUUCAACGAGUUGUUUCCUUGAUCGAAAGGUCUGGGUAAUCUUUGAAAGGUAGUCGUGAUGGGAAUAGAUCCUUGCAAUUUUUGAUCUUCAACGAGGAAUUCCUAGUAAACGCAAGUCAUCAGCUUGCAUUGAUUACGUCCCUGCCCUUUGUACACACCGCCCGUCGCACCUACCGAUUGAAUGGUCCGGUGAAUCUUUAGGACUGUGGCUGAGGCCUUGCCUUGUGCGGGUCUGGCCGUGGGAAUUUAGUUAAACCUUACCAUUUAGAGGAAGGUGAAGUCGUAACA
rnacentral:rRNA from 1 species